GAUGAACGCUAGCGGCAGGCUUAACACAUGCAAGUCGAGGGGUAUUGGUUUUCGGACCAAGAGACCGGCGCACGGGUGCGUAACGCGUAUGCAAUCUACCUUUUGCAGAGGGAUAGCCCCAGAGAAAUUUGGAUUAAUACCUCAUAGUAUAGUACUUUGGCAUCAAGGAACUAUUAAAGUCACAACGGCAAAAGAUGAGCAUGCGUCCCAUUAGCUAGUUGGUAAGGUAACGGCUUACCAAGGCUACGAUGGGUAGGGGUCCUGAGAGGGAGAUCCCCCACACUGGUACUGAGACACGGACCAGACUCCUACGGGAGGCAGCAGUGAGGAUAUUGGACAAUGGGCGGCAAGCCUGAUCCAGCCAUGCCGCGUGCAGGAUGACGGUCCUAUGGAUGUAAACUGCUUUGUACAGGAAGAAACACUACUUCGUGAAGUAGCUUGACGGUACUGUAAGAAUAAGGAUCGGCUAACUCCGUGCC
rnacentral:rRNA from 1 species